rnacentral:piRNA from 1 species
UGGACUUUCUCACCCUGGGGCAG